rnacentral:rRNA from 1 species
UAAUACGUAGGGUGCGAGCGUUGUCCGGAAUUAUUGGGCGUAAAGAGCUCGUAGGCGGUUUGUUGCGUCUAUCGUGAAAACCUGGGGCUCAACCCCGGGCCUGCGGUGGAUACGGGCAGACUUGAGUUCGGUAGGGGAGACUGGAAUUCCUGGUGUAGCGGUGAAAUGCGCAGAUAUCAGGAGGAACA